UUCGCCCUUAGAGUUUGAUCCUGGCUCAGGACGAACGCUGGCGGCGCGCCUAACACAUGCAAGUCGAACGGAGUCAAGAGGAGCUUGCUUUUCUUGACUUAGUGGCGAACGGGUGAGUAACGCGUGAGUAACCUGCCCUAGAGUGGGGGACAACAGUUGGAAACGACUGCUAAUACCGCAUAAGCCCACGGAUCCGCAUGGAUCUGCGGGAAAAGGAUUUAUUCGCUUUAGGAUGGACUCGCGUCCAAUUAGCUAGUUGGUGAGGUAACGGCCCACCAAGGCGACGAUUGGUAGCCGGACUGAGAGGUUGAACGGCCACAUUGGGACUGAGACACGGCCCAGACUCCUACGGGAGGCAGCAGUGGGGGAUAUUGCACAAUGGGGGAAACCCUGAUGCAGCGACGCCGCGUGGAGGAAGAAGGUUUUCGGAUUGUAAACUCCUGUCGUUAGGGACGAUAAUGACGGUACCUAACAAGAAAGCACCGGCUAACUACGUGCCAGCAGCCGCGGUAAAACGUAGGGUGCAAGCGUUGUCCGGAAUUACUGGGUGUAAAGGGAGCGCAGGCGGACCGGCAAGUUGGAAGUGAAAACUAUGGGCUCAACCCAUAAAUUGCUUUCAAAACUGCUGGCCUUGAGUAGUGCAGAGGCAGGUGGAAUUCCCGGUGUAGCGGUGGAAUGCGUAGAUAUCGGGAGGAACACCAGUGGCGAAGGCGACCUACUGGGCACCAACUGACGCUGAGGCUCGAAAGCAUGGGUAGCAAACAGGAUUAGAUACCCUGGUAGUCCAUGCCGUAAACGAUGAUUACUAGGUGUUGGAGGAUUGACCCCUUCAGUGCCGCAGUUAACACAAUAAGUAAUCCACCUGGGGAGUACGACCGCAAGGUUGAAACUCAAAGGAAUUGACGGGGGCCCGCACAAGCAGUGGAGUAUGUGGUUUAAUUCGAAGCAACGCGAAGAACCUUACCAGGUCUUGACAUCCGAUGCAUAGCACAGAGAUGUGUGAAGUCCUUCGGGACAUCGAGACAGGUGGUGCAUGGUUGUCGUCAGCUCGUGUCGUGAGAUGUUGGGUUAAGUCCCGCAACGAGCGCAACCCUUAUUGCCAGUUACUACGUUAAGAGGACUCUGGCGAGACUGCCGUUGACAAAACGGAGGAAGGUGGGGAUGACGUCAAAUCAUCAUGCCCUUUAUGACCUGGGCUACACACGUACUACAAUGGCGUUAAACAAAGAGAAGCAAGACCGCGAGGUGGAGCAAAACUCAAAAACAACGUCUCAGUUCAGAUUGCAGGCUGCAACUCGCCUGCAUGAAGUCGGAAUUGCUAGUAAUCGCGGAUCAGCAUGCCGCGGUGAAUACGUUCCCGGGCCUUGCACACACCGCCCGUCA
rnacentral:rRNA from 1 species